GCAAACUUGGUCAUUUAGAGGAAGUAAAAGUCGUAACAAGGUUUCCGUAGGUGAACCUGCGGAAGGAUCAUUACAGCGAAGGCGGCACACCCGCCCUACGCCCACACUUGCCUACAGACCCUUUAGCCUCGGCGGGACGGGGGGACACGCUUCCCCCCUACCGUGCCCGCCGGGGGACCACAAAACAUCAGUGUUUCAGCGGUAUCUUCUCUGAGUUAGCGUACACAAUCAGUUAAAACUUUCAACAAUGGAUCUCUUGGUUCCGGCAUCGAUGAAGAACGCAGC
rnacentral:misc_RNA from 1 species